AGUAAUUAACGAGCCAGGACAAGUUAAUGAGCCUCUAGAGUCCUCCCCAGGUGACAGGUAAAGUGGAACAGGUAAAUUAAAAAGGGUAAUUAAACAGGUAGGAUGUGGGUGAUAAUGAGGAUGUUAAUGAGCUUUCCCAGGUGAGAUAUGAGGUAAUUAAUGAACCAGGAUGUGUUAAUGAGCCUCUAGAGUCCUCCCCAGGUGACAGGUGAGGCGGGACAGGUAAAUAAUGAAAGGGAGAGUAAUUAACGAGUAUCAAGGUAAGAGAUGGGUGUGUUAAUGACCUUAUACAGCCUUCCCAGGUGAGAUAUGAGUAAUUAAUGAGCCAGGACGUGUUAAUGAGCCUCUCGAGUCCUCCCCAGGUGACAGGUGAGGCGGGAAUGGUAAGACGUGGGUGCCAAAUCUAUGGAGGUGUGCCACGUCAACAGGUAGAGGAGGGAGAGAGACGUAAUUAAGGGGACGGGGCAGGUGAGGCGAGGGUGUCCAGGUGGCGAGGUGGUGGCGGGUCAGGUGGAACAGGUGGCACGGGGCAGGUGGUACAGGUGGAACGGGGCAGGUGGCACUCCCUCUCUCUUGACACCACCACCUGAGCUUGUUCUUGAUCUUGAUGUCACAGGUGGCUUGA